GGAUGGGUGCCAGAGUGGUCUAAUGGAACAGUCUUGAAAACUGUCGUCCCUUCACGGGGACCGUGAGUUCGAAUCUCACCCCAUCCG
rnacentral:tRNA from 1 species